rnacentral:rRNA from 1 species
UACACAUGCAAGUCGAGCGGGUGUAGCAAUACAUCAGCGGCAGACGGGUGAGUAACGCGUGGGAACGUACCUUUUGGUUCGGAACAACCCAGGGAAACUUGGGCUAAUACCGGAUAAGCCCUUACGGGGAAAGAUUUAUCGCCGAAAGAUCGGCCCGCGUCUGAUUAGCUAGUUGGUGAGGUAAUGGCUCACCAAGGCGACGAUCAGUAGCUGGUCUGAGAGGAUGAUCAGCCACAUUGGGACUGAGACACGGCCCAAACUCCUACGGGAGGCAGCAGUGGGGAAUAUUGGACAAUGGGCGCAAGCCUGAUCCAGCCAUGCCGCGUGAGUGAUGAAGGCCCUAGGGUUGUAAAGCUCUUUUGUGCGGGAAGAUAAUGACGGUACCGCAAGAAUAAGCCCCGGCUAACUUCGUGCCAGCAGCCGCGGUAAUACGAAGGGGGCUAGCGUUGCUCGGAAUCACUGGGCGUAAAGGGUGCGUAGGCGGGUCUUUAAGUCAGGGGUGAAAUCCUGGAGCUCAACUCCAGAACUGCCCUUGAUACUGAA